CGAGGCGUUGCGCGUGACGUGCUCGACUCGGCCGGAGUUAUCACGUUUCGGAUGCGCCGCGGAUGUGCGAGGGGUGGGGGAAAAAAGUAGGAGAAAAAAAAAUUGAUCGGCCGCCGCCGGGACGGAGCGCGUGUGUAUACGACCGGAAAUACCUCACGUCGUACGGCGGUAUUUCUCGAUCCGGCGUUGUGAAUAAAAAAAAAAGUUUCGCAGCGUAAUAUUAUUGUACAAGAGUGGCGCGACUGCGUACGUCGCGGAUACGGUUCGGUCUACUCGUUCGUGCGGUCAAAUCUAUUUUAUCAUUAUUUUUUUUUUUCCUAUACGUUUUUUCAACACGAAAAUAACAACAAUACGUGCGACCGAAACGCAAUCGCGACGCGCGAGAAUACUACGAGAAUUCGACCGUCGCUUAUCCGCGUUACUCAAUGCGUCGCGACACGACGUCUUUCUAUAUUUCUUUCGUCUCGCGAAUACCGGCGAGACGUUCUCAGAGGUGGUUUUUAAGCGGAUUCGAUUUCCGAUCCUCCGACCCGACCGCCAACUGUCCC